AUUGAACGCUGGCGGCAUGCUUUACACAUGCAAGUCGAACGGUAACAGGGAGCUUGCUCCGCUGACGAGUGGCGAACGGGUGAGUAAUGCGUCGGAACGUGCCGAGUAGUGGGGGAUAACGCAUCGAAAGGUGUGCUAAUACCGCAUACGCACUGAGGUUGAAAGUGGGGGACCUUCGGGCCUCACGCUAUUCGAGCGGCCGACGUCUGAUUAGCUAGUUGGUGGGGUAAAGGCUCACCAAGGUGACGAGCAGUAGCGGGUCUGAGAGGAUGCUCCGUAACACUGGGACUGAGACACGGCCCAGACUCCUGCGGGCGUCAGAAGUGGGGAGUUUUGGACAAUGGGCGCAAGCCUGGUCCAGCCAUGCCGCGUGUCUGAAGAAGGCCUUCGGGUUGUAAAGGACUUUUGUCCGGGAGCAAAUGCUGGUGGCUAACAUCCACCGGAGCUGAGAGUACCGGAAGAAUAAGCACCGGCUAACUACGUGCCAGCCGCCGCAGUAAAAC
rnacentral:rRNA from 1 species